AAUUAACCGAUCAGACCUGCGAGAUUUCUUUUCACCAGUGAACAAUACAUUUACACACACAUCGAUAUCAACCAAUAUCAAAAAUCAAAUCGAUAAAACGAUUUCCCUCGAUCGACGAUACAUAUUUCACCGACAUCACGCUCCUUCCCAAAGAGGUUAAUUCCAAAAGCACUAAAUAUAUCUCUAUCUCCAUUCUCCAUUCUUCAUAGUAACAUUCUUCACUGGAAAAUAAUCGUCAAACAAGUGGAAUAAAUUGUAAAUUCUCUCUCUUCGACCAAAUCCAAAUCCUCUCAUCUAUCCUUCUGCCGAGAGAGUAGAGGCACAGUCAGUUACGUUAACCGUUAUGACCACCAUUGAUUCCGAUGUCACUGGCAUUUGGUAUAGCAGCGGCGCACGGUGCGCGCACGAGCGACGUGGUGGACGACUCAAAGAGGAAGGGUGCAUCCAAAGGACCGUCAGCUGCACGUUGAAGUCUGGCGCAGACGUAAUGCCACGCGUGUAUCCGGAGAACAGAAUGCACGUGGCGCAGUGUCGCGACUUUUGUGCCAUUACACGCUCUGCGUGAAAACGGAAGAAACACGCGUACUCCCCUCCCCUUCCCCUCUCUGCUUGCUCGCUCGGUCGAAAACCGCGGGAAAACGGAUAUGGAACGCGUCUCGAAUCGUGAAUGAAUAUAUAAAAUUUAAAAAAAGAGACUCGAAAAAUGGAAGUUGGUCUCGGGAUUGUGUAUCGAUUUUAAUACGAACGAGAGUCAGACGACAGUAAAGAAGAUAAAGGAGAAGGGAUACAAAUUUCUGUUCUGUAGAGUUAGGCGAAAGCCGACGGAGUCGCGUGUAAAUCAAAGUCGAGGCCAUUAAAUUCUAAAGUUACGAUAACACGUGAACUUUUUUCCUCGCCUAGCUGUGCAACGUAUCACCAUUGUUACCGAACAAGCGAGACAAUGGACAGAUAAUACGAGGCACGAAGAACGGGAAGAACAGAAGUGGAGAAAGAAGAGGAGGAGGAGGAGGAGAAGCGCAGAGUCUCUCCAGCAUCUCUUCUUAUAGAGAAUGGCCCGGGGCUGUCCAUCGGAUCGAACGUGUGAGAUAUGGCCGGCCACGAUUGUGUCGUGUCAACUUCUCAUAAAAAAACGACGAUUCACCCUGAAGAGAAAAUAUUCAAUCUUCAAACGCUCGAGUUGUGUCGAUCCGUUUUGCGUUCGAAUCGAAGAAUGAGAAAUACUUUUGUGAAGU